GACGAACGCUGGCGGCGUGCUUAACACAUGCAAGUCGAACGCUGAAGCUCAGCUUUUGUUGGGUGGAUGAGUGGCGAACGGGUGAGUAACACGUGAGUAACCUGCCCCCUUCUUUGGGAUAACGCCCGGAAACGGGUGCUAAUACUGGAUAUUCACUGGUCUUCGCAUGGGGGUUGGUGGAAAGGGUUUUUCUGGUGGGGGAUGGGCUCGCGGCCUAUCAGCUUGUUGGUGGGGUGAUGGCCUACCAAGGCUUUGACGGGUAGCCGGCCUGAGAGGGUGACCGGGCACAUUGGGACUGAGAUACGGCCCAGACUCCUGCGGGAGGCAGCAGUGGGGAAUAUUGCACAAUGGGCGCAAGCCUGAUGCAGCGACGCCGCGUGAGGGAUGGAGGCCUUCGGGUUGUGAACCUCUUUCGCUCAUGGUCAAGCCGCAACAAUGGUUGUGGUGAGGGUAGUGGGUAAAGAAGCGCCGGCUAACUACGUG
rnacentral:rRNA from 1 species